GAAGAACGCUAGCUACAGGCUUAACACAAGCAAGUCGAGGGGCAGCAAGGUCUUAGCUCGCUAAGGCCGAUGGCGACCGGCGCACGGGUGAGUAACACGUAUCCAACCUGCCGUCUACUCUUGGACAGCCUUCUGAAAGGAAGAUUAAUACAAGAUGGCAUCAUGAGUCCGCAUGUUCACAUGAUUAAAGGUAUUCCGGUAGACGAUGGGGAUGCGUUCCAUUAGAUAGUAGGCGGGGUAACGGCCCACCUAGUCUUCGAUGGAUAGGGGUUCUGAGAGGAAGGUCCCCCACAUUGGAACUGAGACACGGUCCAAACUCCUACGGGAGGCAGCAGUGAGGAAUAUUGGUCAAUGGGCGAGAGCCUGAACCAGCCAAGUAGCGUGAAGGAUGACUGCCCUAUGGGUUGUAAACUUCUUUUAUAAAGGAAUAAAGUCGGGUAUGGAUACCCGUUUGCAUGUACUUUAUGAAUAAGGAUCGGCUAACUCCGUGCCAGCAGCCGCGGUAAUACGGAGGAUCCGAGCGUUAUCCGGAUUUAUUGGGUUUAAAGGGAGCGUAGAUGGAUGUUUAAGUCAGUUGUGAAAGUUUGCGGCUCAACCGUAAAAUUGCAGUUGAUACUGGAUAUCUUGAGUGCAGUUGAGGCAGGCGGAAUUCGUGGUGUAGCGGUGAAAUGCUUAGAUAUCACGAAGAACUCCGAUUGCGAAGGCAGCCUGCUAAGCUGCAACUGACAUUGAGGCUCGAAAGUGUGGGUAUCAAACAGGAUUAGAUACCCUGGUAGUCCACACGGUAAACGAUGAAUACUCGCUGUUUGCGAUAUACUGCAAGCGGCCAAGCGAAAGCGUUAAGUAUUCCACCUGGGGAGUACGCCGGCAACGGUGAAACUCAAAGGAAUUGACGGGGGCCCGCACAAGCGGAGGAACAUGUGGUUUAAUUCGAUGAUACGCGAGGAACCUUACCCGGGCUUAAAUUGCAGAUGAAUUACGGUGAAAGCCGUAAGCCGCAAGGCAUCUGUGAAGGUGCUGCAUGGUUGUCGUCAGCUCGUGCCGUGAGGUGUCGGCUUAAGUGCCAUAACGAGCGCAACCCUUGUUGUCAGUUACUAACAGGUUCCGCUGAGGACUCUGACAAGACUGCCAUCGUAAGAUGUGAGGAAGGUGGGGAUGACGUCAAAUCAGCACGGCCCUUACGUCCGGGGCUACACACGUGUUACAAUGGGGGGUACAGAGGGCCGCUACCACGCGAGUGGAUGCCAAUCCCCAAAACCUCUCUCAGUUCGGACUGGAGUUCUGCGAACCCGACUCCUCGAAAGCUGGAUUUCGCUAGUUAUCGCGCGUUCUGCCUCGGCGGCGGUGAAU
rnacentral:rRNA from 1 species